AUGACAUGUAUUUACAGGUACCUACACGGCAGGCCCUGCCGAGUGGUACAGACGUGCACGCCACACCGUCUCUCCUCUCGCGGGCGGCUCAUUCCAGUGGAGCGGCUGAGAUGGAGAGCAGGAAAGAGCACACGAGCAAGAUCAUUUCCAGGAGUGAUAAGUGUGUGGAAGGCAGUAAAGCAGGGAAGGUGGGGCUCCUGGGAGUGUGAACAGACUGCUGGAGGCUGGCCUUCCUGUAGUCGGUGUGACUUUGGAACAAACAGAUAUGGGGCUCAAGGCAGAAUCCCAGCAUCCCAGCAUCUCUCCGCCACCACCCAGGCUCGUUCUUGGCCUGGCGCUCUUCCCAUUCCGGACUACGACCUUACUAACAGAAUGCCUCGGACCUGGGCUUCGCGCUGCGUGCUGGCUCAGGCCGCCCCUCCUGCCUGCUGUCCCUUUCGCUUUGUGUGCAGCCAGCAUGUGCCCAGACGAAAGACUCGGCCCACGCUUUCACCCCUUAGUGUACAAGGCAAAGACUUCGCUGAAACCAGCACAUGCCCUGCUCCCUUACACUCCCCAGCGGUUUGAGGGCAGGAACUGCGUCUUCCUCGCCCUGGCGUCCCAGCUUCUAGUUCAGCGCUUGUCACAUGCUGGACGACACAUGUUUUCCGAGAAGAGAUAAACACAAUGCUUAUUGAACCCACUGACUCUGGACGCUGUUCUGAGAGUUUACAAGUCUCACUCACAUGAUGACUCCACAAGGGAAACAUGUUGCUAUCCAGGGCCAGAGCAGGGGAGACAGCAAGGCCCUCACAGGGGGUGCAGAAUGUAAGGGGACACCAACCAAACUCAGGAAUCAAGAUAGAUAAAUUUUUUUUAAGAUUUUAUUUUGGGGAGUGCCUGGGUGGCACAGCGGUUAAGCGUCUGCCUUCGGCUCAGGGCGUGAUCCCGGCGUUGUGGGAUCGAGCCCCACAUCAGGCUCCUCCGCUAUGAGCCUGCUUCUUCCUCUCCCACUCCCCCUGCUUGUGUUCCCUCUCUCUCUGGCUGUCUCUAUCUCUGUCUAAUAAAUAAAUAAAAUCUUUAAAAAAAAAAAAAAGA
rnacentral:lncRNA from 1 species